CCUCCCCUGACAGCACGUCACUGGAAUGAGGCGCAAGGGGCAAGUGUCGUAUUUGAAGUCAUCCGGGAUCCAGUAGGUGACCUGCAGGAAGACCCUGUACAGUCCAGUCCUGGGCACCACCAGGCUGCCGUCGGAGUAGGAGAAGCCCCCGUGAAGGAGACACUGAACUCAACCCUGGACCUGCAACAACACGGUUAAUGUUGUCCCGACUGGCGAAGACUAGCAAUGCUACUGCUAGCGUCGUCAUCGAAGCUAACUCGGCUACCGGCUCAUCUCAGCUCAAGCUCACCUGUGCUCCAGCGAUCGGCGGCUCGGCGGAGGACUUCGCCCUGUUGUUCAUCGACACGGUCGGUGGCUCGGCGGCGGCGGUGGACGGCGAACCAGUCAUCGAUGAUGGCGGGGAACUGCCCGAGAUGGCGGGGGUCCACGCGGCCUCUUCCCGGUCCACGACGGUCGAGGACGCGGCAUACACUGGAUUUAGAGGCGCCUUUACAAAAACAUUUUCGUUAUUCUCUUUGUCCUCAAAAAAGCCCGCCAAAAGGAAA